UAUUGCGCAAUGGAGGAGACUCUGACGCAGUGACGCCGCGUAUAGGAAGAAGGUUUUCGGAUUGUAUACUAUUGUCGUGAGGGAAGAAAUUGACAGUACCUCAGGAGGAAGCUACGGCUAACUAUGUGCCAGCAGCCGCGGUAAUACAUAGGGAGCAAGCGUUAUCCGGAUUUAUUGGGUGUAAAGGGUGCGUAGACGGGAAAUUAAGUUAGUUGUGAAAUCCCUCGGCUUAACUGAGGAACUGCAACUAAAACUGGUUUUCUUGAGUACUGGAGAGGAAAGUGGAAUUCCUAGUGUAGCGGUGAAAUGCGUAGAUAUUAGGAGGAACACCAGUGGCGAAGGCGACUUUCUGGACAGUAACUGACGUUGAGGCACGGAAGUGUGGGGAGCAAACAGG
rnacentral:rRNA from 1 species